AUUGAACGCUGGCGGCAUGCCUUACACAUGCAAGUCGAACGGCAGCACGGGUGCUUGCACCUGGUGGCGAGUGGCGAACGGGUGAGUAAUACAUCGGAACGUACCUUAUCGUGGGGGAUAACGCAGCGAAAGCUGUGCUAAUACCGCAUACGCCCUGAGGGGGAAAGCGGGGGAUCGAAAGACCUCGCGCGAUUAGAGCGGCCGAUGCCUGAUUAGCUUGUUGGUGGGGUAAAAGCCCACCAAGGCGACGAUCAGUAGCUGGUCUGAGAGGACGAUCAGCCACACUGGGACUGAGACACGGCCCAGACUCCUACGGGAGGCAGCAGUGGGGAAUUUUGGACAAUGGGGGCAACCCUGAUCCAGCAAUGCCGCGUGAGUGAAGAAGGCCUUUGGGUUGUAAAGCUCUUUUGUCAGGGAAGAAACACCGGUUCUAACACAGUCCGGGAAUGACGGUACCUGAAGAAUAAGCACCGGCUAACUACGUGCCAGCAGCCGCAGUAA
rnacentral:rRNA from 1 species